rnacentral:rRNA from 1 species
UACACGACCGUACCGCAAACCGACACUGGUGCGCGAGAUGAGUAUUCUAAGGCGCUUGAGAGAACUCAGGAGAAGGAACUCGGCAAAUUGACACCGUAACUUCGGAAGAAGGUGUGCCUUUAGUAGGUGAACCAUUUACUUGGGGAGCCCAAUGAGGCUGCAAAAAAUCGGUGGCUGCAACUGUUUAUUAAAAACACAGCACUCUGCUAAGACGAAAGUCGACGUAUAGGGUGUGACGCCUGCCCGGUGCUGGAAGAUUAAAUGAUGGGGUGCAAGCUCUUGAUUGAAGUCCCAGUAAACGGCGGCCGUAACGAUAACGGUCCUAAGGUAGCGAAAUUCCUUGUCGGGUAAGUUCCGACCUGCACGAAUGGCGUAAUGAUGGCCACACUGUCUCCUCCUGAGACUCAGCGAAGUUGAAAUGUUUGUGAUGAUGCAAUCUCCCCGCGGAAAGACGGAAAGACCCCAUGAACCUUUACUGUAGCUUUGUAUUGGACUUUGAACAGAUCUGUGUAGGAUAGGUGGGAGGCUUUGAAGUGUGGUCGCUAGAUCGCAUGGAGCCAACGUUGAAAUACCACCCUGGUGUGUUUGAGGUUCUAACCUAGGUCCAUUAUCUGGAUCGGGGACAGUGCAUGGUAGGCAGUUUGACUGGGGCGGUCUCCUCCCAAAGUGUAACGGAGGAGUUCGAAGGUACGCUAGGUACGGUCGGACAUCGUGCUAAUAGUGCAAUGGCAUAAGCGUGCUUAACUGCGAGACUGACAAGUCGAGCAGAUGCGAAAGCAGGACAUGGUGAUCCGGUGGUUCUGUAUGGAAGGGCCAUCGCUCAACGGAUAAAAGGUACUCUGGGGAUAACAGGCUGGUACCGCCCAAGAGUUCGUAUCGACGGCGGUGUUUGGCACCUCGAUGUCGGCUCAUCUCAUCCUGGGGCUGUAGCCGGUCCCAAGGGUAUGGCUGUUCGCCAUUUAAAGAGGUACGUGAGCUGGGUUUAAAACGUCGUGAGACAGUUUGGUCCCUAUCUUCCGUGGGCGCUGCAGAUUUGAGGAAGCCUGCUCCUAGUACGAGAGGACCGGAGUGGACGAACCUCUGGUGUAUCGGUUGUCACGCCAGUGGCAUUGCCGAGUAGCUAAGUUCGGAAGAGAUAACCGCUGAAAGCAUCUAAGCGGGAAACUCGUUUCAAGGUUAGAUCUGCCGGGGCCUUGAGCCCCCUAAAGAGUCGUUCAAGACCAGGACGUUGAUAGGUCAGGUGUGGAAGCGA